rnacentral:rRNA from 1 species
CGGCGUGCUUAACACAUGCAAGUCUACGAGAACGAGGUAGCAAUAUCUUUAGUAAAGUGGCGUACGGGUGCGUAACACGUAAGCAAUUUACCUUUGGGUCUGGAAUAACUUCGAGAAAUCGAGGCUAAUACCGGAUAAUGCAGCGGCACCGCAUGGUGAUGUUGUUAAAGUUUGCGUAAUGCCUAAAGAUGAGCUUGCGUCUGAUUAGCUAGUUGGUGAGGUAAUGGCCCACCAAGGCUACGAUCAGUAGCUGGUCUGAGAGGAUGAUCAGCCACACUGGAACUGAGACACGGUCCAGACUCCUACGGGAGGCAGCAGUGAGGAAUAUUGGGCAAUGCCCGCAAGGGUGACCCAGCAACGCCGCGUGGAGGAUGAAGGUCGUAAGAUCGUAAACUCCUGUUAGAGGGGAAGAAUAGCUAAGUUUGGAGCUUAGUAUGACUGUACCCUCAGAGAAAGCCCCGGCUAACUACGUGCCAGCAACCGCGGUAA